rnacentral:tRNA from 2 species
GUCCUGGUAGCUCAGUGGAUAGAGCAACGGCCUCCUAAGCCGUAGGUCGGGCGUUCGAAUCGCCCCCUGGACG